AUAGAAGGUAAUAGUCCUGUAGAUAAAAAGAGAAAACUUCGAGAUCUAAUCCAGAGUACCACGAGACACGUGAAACCUUGUGGGAAGCAGGGAGGACCACCUCCCAAGGCUAAAUACUACCUAGUGACCGAUAGUGAAGCAGUACCGUGAGGGAAAGGUGAAAAGAACCCCGGAAGGGGAGUGAAAUAGAACCUGAAACCGUGUGCCUACAACCGAUCGGAGCACGUUAAAGUGUGACGAUGUGCUUUUUGUAGAACGAGCCAGCGAGUUACGCUAUGUAGCAAGGUUAAGUACUUAAGGUAUGGAGCCGAAGGGAAACCGAGUCUGAAAAGGGCGAAAAGUUGCAUGGUGUAGACCCGAAACCGGGUGACCUAUCCAUGGCCAGGUUGAAGCGAGAGUAAAAUCUCGUGGAGGACCGAACCACGUUGGUGUUGAAAAACCAUGGGAUGAGCUGUGGAUAGCGGAGAAAUUCCAAUCGAACUCGGAGAUAGCUGGUUCUCCUCGAAAUAGCUUUAGGGCUAGCGUCGUGUAAUUGAGUAAUGGAGGUAGAGCACUGAAUGGGCUAGGGGCUAUAGUAGUUACCGAACCCUAUCAAACUCCGAAUGCCAUAUACUUGUAUCACGGCAGUCAGACUGCGAAUGAUAAGAUCCGUAGUCAAAAGGGAAACAGCCCAGACCAUCAGCUAAGGUCCCAAAGUGUAAGUUAAGUGGAAAAGGAUGUGGGAUUUCUAAGACAACUAGGAUGUUGGCUUAGAAGCAGCCACUCAUUUAAAGAGUGCGUAAUAGCUCACUAGUCAAGAGAUCCUGCGCCGAAGAUGUCCGGGGCUCAAACUUACCACCGAAGCUAUGGGUGUACACUAUGUGUACGCGGUAGAGGAGCUUUCUGUAUGGGUUGAAGUCGUACCGUAAGGAGCGGUGGACUGUACAGAAGUGAGAAUGCUGGCAUAAGUAGCGAGAAAUAAGUGAGAAUCUUAUUGGCCGAAAACCUAAGGUUUCCUGAGGAAGGUUCGUCCGCUCAGGGUUAGUCGGGACCUAAGCCGAGGCCGAAAGGCGUAGGUGAUGGACAAUCGGUUGAUAUUCCGAUACCACCUAUUUACGUUUGAGAAAUGGGGUGACGCAGUAGGAUAAGAUGUGCGCACUAUUGGAUGUGCGUCUAAGCACUUAGGCAUGCUUGAUAGGCAAAUCCGUCGAGCUAAGCUGAGGUGUGAUGGGGAGCCAUUUAUGGCGAAGUAUCUGAUUCCACACUGCCAAGAAAAGCCUCUAUCGAGUGAAUAGGUGCCCGUACCGCAAACCGACACAGGUAGGUGAGGAGAGAAUCCUAAGGCCAUCGGAAGAAUUGCUGUUAAGGAACUCGGCAAAUUGACCCCGUAACUUCGGGAGAAGGGGUGCCUACGAAAGUAGGCCGCAGAGAAUAGGCCCAAGCAACUGUUUAGCAAAAACACAGGUCUCUGCUAAAGCGAAAGCUGAUGUAUAGGGGCUGACGCCUGCCCGGUGCUGGAAGGUUAAGGGGAACACUUAGCGUAAGCGAAGGUGUGAACUUAAGCCCCAGUAAACGGCGGCCGUAACUAUAACGGUCCUAAGGUAGCGAAAUUCCUUGUCGGGUAAGUUCCGACCCGCACGAAUGGCGUAAUGAUUUGGGCACUGUCUCAACAGCAAAUCCGGCGAAAUUGUAGUGCAAGUGAAGAUGCUUGCUACCCGCGAUUGGACGGAAAGACCCCGUAGAGCUUUACUGUAGCUUAGCAUUGAAUCUCGGUAUUGUCUGUACAGGAUAGGUGGGAGACUUGGAAACUUGGGCGUCAGCCUGAGUGGAGUCAUCCUUGGGAUACCACCCUGACAGUACUGGGGUUCUAACCGGCGGCCAUGAAUCUGGUCACGGGACAUUGUUAGGUGGGCAGUUUGACUGGGGCGGUCGCCUCCUAAAAAGUAACGGAGGCGCCCAAAAGUUCCCUCAGCGCGGUCGGAAAUCGCGCGAAGAGUGCAAAGGCAGAAGGGAGCUUGACUGCGACACAUACAGGUGGAGCAGGGACGAAAGUCGGGCUUAGUGAUCCGGUGGUACCUCGUGGGAGGGCCAUCGCUCAACGGAUAAAAGCUACCUCGGGGAUAACAGGCUGAUCUCCCCCAAGAGUCCACAUCGACGGGGAGGUUUGGCACCUCGAUGUCGGCUCGUCGCAUCCUGGGGCUGAAGUAGGUCCCAAGGGUUGGGCUGUUCGCCCAUUAAAGCGGCACGCGAGCUGGGUUCAGAACGUCGUGAGACAGUUCGGUCCCUAUCCGUCGCGGGCGUAGGAAAUUUGAGAGGAGCUGUCCUUAGUACGAGAGGACCGGGAUGGACCAACCUCUGGUGCACCAGUUGUCACGCCAGUGGCACAGCUGGGUAGCUAUGUUGGGACUGGAUAAACGCUGAAAGCAUCUAAGCGUGAAGCCAACCUCAAGAUGAGAUUUCCCAUAGCGUAAGCUAGUAAGACUCCUGGAAGAACACCAGGUUGAUAGGUCAGAGAUGUAAGCAUGGCAACAUGUUAAGUUGACUGAUACUAAUAAGUCGAGGGCUUGACCAA
rnacentral:rRNA from 1 species